rnacentral:siRNA from 1 species
AGAGGAAACUCUGGUGGAA